ensembl:processed_transcript
ACAGAGCAUCUGCCAUACCCACAAUGCCCGGGACUUAAAGGAUACUGUAGAAGCCAGGUUUCCCAACCCAUCUAUGAGGUUCCUGGCCUGCUCGAGUUCCUGCCCUCACUGCCUUUGAGGAGGAACUGUGAUGUGGAACUGUGAGUGAAAUAAACCCUUUGCUCCCAGGUUGUUUUGGGUCAUUGUGUUUCGUCUAAGCAAUAGAAACUGUAACUAAGCCAGGAUUCCUCUGUGUAGCCCAGGCUGUCCUGGAACUCAUUUGUAGACCACGUUGUCCUUGAACUUAAGAGAUCUGUCUUUCUCUGCCUUCCAAGUGCAGGAACUAAAGGUAUGCACCACUGUACCUGGCUCAAGGUAGGUAUUUUCUAGAAUAAACAAAGUUACAAAGACUUUCUCACAUGACUUACACGAAAGCAGUUUGUGCAAUAUUAAUCCUAACAAGAAGACAACUAACAAUCUUGCUUUUCACAUACCAUUUUCCAGCAGCACACACGGUAGUUGUGGCUUAGUGAAAGCCUUAUCUUGGCACAAUGUUGAAGAAUUCUGGGAACAUAAAAAAAAUUCCCUAAGUGUUUGUAAAUAAUGACAUUUUCCAGUAUUUCCAAACACCCGGUUCUGUGGUACAAUGUUUCAGCAACAUCCUGAAUGCCACGUUACAGUUUACAUGACUAUGGCAACCCUCAGGAAGGGUUAAGUUCCUGGAUGGGAACUUACCAUCACCGCCUUCUGCCCUCAGUGUAGCCAGCUAAGACUACUCCUUGGCCUUUUAACAAUGAAGGAACACCAUAGAUAAUUCUCAGGUGCUCUUUUAAACCUGUUUACUCAGUUGUGUGUGUGCACUGCCAUGUGCGAGUCUGCAGGCGCAUGUGUAAAGGUCCGAGGAAACUCUGAGGCUUUAGUUGUCUCUUUCCACCUUUAUGUGGCUUCAACAGGUCAAACUCAGGUUACUCAGCCUACACAGCAAGUGCCUUCCUGCUUCUCAGAUCUUCUAAAGAGGUGACAGAGUCACAUGCCCAAGGCUUUAGUGUAGUCUACAGAUGGCUAAAAAGCAGUCAACUAUGUGUAGGAAAUGACGCAGUAAUUUCUGAGCCUGCUAAUCGAUUUGGGUAUUGUUUACAGAUAACUUCAUCAAAACAAAUUCUUGAAUUCAUUAUCAUGCUUUCUUAAUCAAAAGAGUUUAAAAAGAGGUGAAAUACAGAACCAAUACAUUUUUAAUCUUUAGUACACUCAUAAAACUUCAUUACUCUGAAAAUAAGAAAGUGGGAAAAUUGCAAAUGUCCCCUCAAAUCGUCACCUUGACUGUAGCGACCAUAAGGGACACUAUACUUAUCCAGAGAACAGUAAUUUAGUCCUUCUCUGGACCUGCUCACUUAUUCUAUGAAGUUUCUCCAUAAAUUUCAAAGCCAGAAAUGCUCUUGUAAUGACACGGAUAAUUUUUUAAAUUAUGAGACUAGAAAACUUGUCAGAUUUGUAGCAAAGACACAUAUUCCCAUUGUACCAGUCUUAAUCUUACCCUUAACCAGAGGAGACACAUCAAGGUACCCAGAUGUAUGGGGUGAGUACCGUAACUCACCUGGUUGCCUGUUUAAUCAGAGAACGUACAGAGAAGAGGUUUCCUGGUCUGUCUGGAGGAAGGUUAUUUACAGAGUAAGUUUUCUCGUAUCUUUUUCCUUGAGGUAUGUAUGCAUGCACCCAUGACUAUUUGUAUUAUGUUAAUUUGGGUUCCCCCAAAUUAUUUAUUCGAGAAUCUGACACUGAGGGACCCUGCCCCGGUUGGUUCUGAUUGGAAAAUAAAGUUGCUGGCAGCCAAUGGCUAGGCAGGGCAGAGACAUGACUUUUAGGAUGCCAGGCAAGGGACCGAGUCUCUGGUCUGGCUCCUAUCUCCCAGUAAGGACUGUGGCCCCUAAGCAAAAGCUGAGGCUGUCCCCUUCUUCCUGCCCUAGUCUAUAGCUGUGGUAAGAUGCCCUGGCGGGAGCUGUCAAAAAUGGCAGCUCCUAUCUAAAUGGCAGCACAGCCACAUCCCCUCAGCCUUCAGCCUCCACAGGGGCAUCUCAUUUCCUGCUCAGCAGGAGUUGCCCCUUACAUAGCUGAGCAAGGUGGCAACACCUACUCCCCUACACCCCCAGCUCCCAGCAGCCCCACGAGCUGGUGUCUCAGCAAAACCAGGCUGCAGUCGGGAAGAACUUCCCACAGGAAUCCAUGGGCCGGAUGCAGGGAAAGGGAAAAAACACCCACCAAUCCCUGAGCUCCGCAAACUCAGGCCUUGAAAUCCCACCAAUCCUCAAACUGGAAAUGUCUGCCCUCAAAAGCUCCACCCCCUAAGAAAUCCUAUGUAAGCACUGCCCUUUGUUCAAUUCCCUGCUGCCUUCUCUCUGGAGCGGAGGGAAGUAAUGUUACAGAUAGCACAUUUGCCAUACUAUGACUUUAAGAAGAGCUUUAUAUCAAAAUUCUUGAGUUUUCAUAGUUAGCUUACCUUUUCUGAUUCUUCUUGACUUGGAUAAUAUGUAAAAUAGUUACCAAAAUGAGCCCCUUCUGACUUGAAAACCGAUCCAUCUCCAGGAAAAAUCUCUAUUGAGUUUACAUUUUUAUGGGUAAGCCUAAGGUAAAGAAAUAAUUAUUUGUUUUC